CCUACGGGAGGCUGCAGUGGGGAAUAUUGGACAAUGGGCGAAAGCCUGAUCCAGCCAUGCCGCGUGUGUGAAGAAGGCCUUCGGGUUGUAAAGCACUUUCAGUGGGGAAGAAAGCCUUGGGGCUAAUACCCUCGAGGAAGGACAUCACCCACAGAAGAAGCACCGGCUAACUCCGUGCCAGCAGCCGCGGUAAUACGGAGGGUGCGAGCGUUAAUCGGAAUUACUGGGCGUAAAGCGCGCGUAGGCGGUCUGAUAAGCCGGUUGUGAAAGCCCCGGGCUCAACCUGGGAACGGCAUCCGGAACUGUCAGGCUAGAGUGCAGUAGAGGAAGGUAGAAUUCCCGGUGUAGCGGUGAAAUGCGUAGAGAUCGGGAGGAAUACCAGUGGCGAAGGCGGCCUUCUGGACUGACACUGACGCUGAGGUGCGAAAGCGUGGGUAGCAAACAGGAUUAGAUACCCGGGUAGUC
rnacentral:rRNA from 1 species